rnacentral:rRNA from 1 species
ACUCAUCUCUCCCCCCGUGCUCCUCCAUCCCACGACCUGCCCCACCCACACCUCUCUCCCCCGUGCUCCUCCAUCCCAUGGCGUCGCCGCCUCCCUCCCCGCGCCCCACUGCAGCACCGCCGCCGCCCUCGCGCACCCGCGCAGCCGUCUCCCCAGUGCCCUCGCGACCCAUGCGCCUCCUCGCCGCCCAGGCCAUGGAUCCGGCCAUGCCGCGGCGGACAGGCGACGGAUCCAGCCCCGCUGCACCGCCCAGGCGCCGGGGUCGAGCGUCGCCGUUCCCCACCGUUGUCCCGGCGACUGCCCCCAACCCCCUCCAACUCCCCUCGUCCUUGCCCCCCGAGCAGCAACAUGGAUCCGGCGGGCGGUGCACACCCUUACCUCCACCAGCCCGAGCGCCCCGCUGGCGUGCCUCCAGCACUGGCUCUGUGCGGCGCAGCAGUCCACUCCUCCCCACGCCGCCCACACCCUCCCAUCUACCGGAUCAGGUCGCGGCUCCCCUCGUGCUCGUAUCUUCCUCCCCUCCGGUAGCUCCACUCCGGCCCCAGCGGAACCACUCCUCUAGCUCAAUAUCCAUGGAGUCCGACGACCACGGACGUGUAGCUCGCAGGCAUGAGAUGUGGUUCAGUGCUCCUGUGGGUGUAGUUCAUGAGCGCGUCGGCGACGAUGGCAUCAACGCAGUGCACUCCGGUAGUUGCCGUGGUGCACUCUGGUGGCCGUUGUGGUACAGCUCAGUGGCUGGCCAGGUGAGGUUUGCUUUUCCUCUGCUUGUGGUUAAUCUAAGCACGAGCUUCAUCACCUCGGUGCUUUUGUCGUGUAGCUUGGUGACGCGACAGGUGCAGUCAGCUGAGCAGACACUCUUCUCCAAGCGAGAAGAGGAGGGCGAUCUUGGUUCCUGUCCACGUGCAGUUUCAGGGAGUAAAUUGCACAGAAGUACCACAAUUGGGGCAUUAGAAGCAGAUUGGUACCAAGAUUGGUAAUUUUUACGUGUCCGUACCAAGUCUGGGGCAAGCCGUUACAAAAAGGUCUAAACAGCGUAUAAACGUGUAUUGACGGUGUAUCUGACCGGUAGGGUUCAGUGAGGUAGGGUGCGGGCACGGGAGGCGCACAGGAGGCCGAAUCCGGCGAGGUAGGGUGCGGGCACGGGAGGCGCACAGGAGGCCGGCUCCGGUGAGGUAGGGCGCGGGCACGGGAGGCGCAGAGGAGGCCGGAUCCGGCGAGGUAGGGCGCGGGCACGGGAGGCGCAGAGGAGGCCGGAUCCGGCGAGGUAGGGCGCAGGAACGGGAGGCGCAGAGGAGGCCGGAUCCGGCGAAGUAGGGCGCUGGGGCGUUGCGGUCAAAGGGGAGGAGGCGGCGCGAUGCAGGGGCUCCAGCGUCGAGGAACGAAGGGGAUGGACGGAUCUGAGGCUCUCCAGCGCGGAUUGGCCGGGAACCAAGGCGGCGCGUCGGGUUGGAGCUACGGGAGGCCAUCCAUGGCGGCUUGACGUCGGGCUCCUGUCCAAUGGGCAAGAGAGAGAGAGAGCUCCGGGUGAGAGAGAGAGAAGAGAAAAUGGAAGAAAGAAGAAAAGGAGAGAGGCAGGGUGCGGGGAAAAGAAGGAGAGAGGCAGGGUGCGGGGAUGGCCUGGUCCUGGUCGCUGGUGGUGAUGCUCGAACGGCCGGCCGGCGGCGAGGCGAGGAGGAGGCUAGGGCGGGGCGAGGGUUAUGGGAAGCGAAGGAGCUUGGGAUCGAGGGGCUCCUCCCUCGAUCCAGAUCGUGCGCCACCGCGGUGGAGACGACGAACAACAGCGCCAGCGAAAUAGGGGGGUUUCUGCGAAAAACAUGCCACGUCGGCACCCGACAGGCGGGGUGCGCCGGUCAGAUACACCGUCAAUACGUGUUUAUACGCUGUUUAGACCUUUUUGUAACGGCUUGCCCCAGACUUGGUGCUGACACGUAAAAAUUACCAAUCUUGGUACCAAUCUGCUUGUAAUGGCCCAAUUGUGGUACUUCUGUGCAAUUUACUCAGUUUCAGGCGAUGCGCCCAUGCGGUGUGGAGCACAUGUGCAUGUAGUCCAUCGGCCAUGCAUGUAGUAUAGGUCGCAUAGUGGUGUAAUUCAUCGCUGAACCUGUGUUGUAGUUUUAGGUCGCAUAGUGGCGUGUGUGAUGCAGUUUUGCGUCUCCUCUCGGGUGGACACAUAGCUGCACCCCAGAUCGCCCAGUACUGCAACCCCUUCCUUCCUUUACUUAUUUUUUGCAGGAAAGAAAGUGGUGCAUUUCGGUUGGAUGUCCCGUUGGAGUUUGACCUUGUGCCAUUUCAGAUUAUACUGUGUAGUGCGACAUGAGUUUCUCUGCUUGGGGUGCUCUGGUACAGUAUGUACUUGUACGGCUGUGUAAAAAAUUAUGAAUUUGUGUGUUGAGCAUUCUGAAGCACUGAUGUUAUUUUUUUACUUCGAGAAAACAUGACGUGGUCCAUUAUGUGGUGGUUGGUAGUUUACUUUGUCAGAAGGGAGAAAAAGAAAUUCACGUGAGAGGUUCACUUCUUUUUUGAAAGAAGAUUGUUUUUGUGGGACG